UACGGGGGGAGCAAGCGUUGUUCGGAUUUACUGGGCGUAAAGGGCGGGUAGGCGGCCACCGCAAGUCAGUUGUGAAAUCUCCGGGCUUAACCCGGAAAGGUCAACUGAUACUGUGCGACUAGAGUGCAGAAGGGGCAACUGGAAUUCUCGGUGUAGCGGUGAAAUGCGUAGAUAUCGAGAGGAACACCUGCGGCGAAGGCGGGUUGCUGGGCUGACACUGACGCUGAGGCGCGAAAGCCAGGGGAGCGAACGGG
rnacentral:rRNA from 1 species